rnacentral:rRNA from 1 species
UACGUAGGCAGCGAGCGUUGUUCGGAGUUACUGGGCGUAAAGGGUGCGUAGGCGGUUUUGUUAGUCUUCUGUCAAAUUCUUCGGCUUAACCGGGGGCUCGCAGAGGAAACGGCAAAACUAGAGGAUGGGAGAGGUGAAUGGAACUCUAAGUGUAGGGGUGAAAUCCGUUGAUAUUUAGGGGAACACCAAAAGCGAAGGCAAUUCACUGGCCCACUCCUGACGCUGAAGCACGAAAGCGUGGGUAGCGAAUGGG